rnacentral:rRNA from 1 species
UUUGUAUAAUGGGUCAGCGACUUAUAUUCAGUGGCAAGGUUAACCAUCUAGGGGAGCCGUAGGGAAACCGAGUCUUAACUGGGCGUUCAGUCUCUGGAUAUAGACCCGAAACCAGGUGAUCUAGCCAUGGGCAGGUUGAAGGUUGAGUAACAUCAACUGGAGGACCGAACCGACUAAUGUUGAAAAAUUAGCGGAUGACUUGUGGCUAGGGGUGAAAGGCCAAUCAAACCUGGAGAUAGCUGGUUCUCCCCGAAAGCUAUUUAGGUAGCGCCUCGGACGAAUACUACUGGGGGUAGAGCACUGUUAAGGCUAGGGGGUCAUCCCGACUUACCAACCCUUUGCAAACUCCGAAUACCAGUAAGUACUAUCCGGGAGACACACGGCGGGUGCUAACGUCCGUCGUGGAGAGGGAAACAACCCAGACCGCCAGCUAAGGUCCCAAAUUACUACUAAGUGGGAAACGAUGUGGGAAGGCUCAGACAGCCAGGAUGUUGGCUUAGAAGCAGCCAUCAUUUAAAGAAAGCGUAAUAGCUCACUGGUCGAGUCGGCCUGCGCGGAAGAUGUAACGGGGCUAAGUAGUAAACCGAAGCUGCGGCAAUGUGCUUUUGCACAUUGGGUAGGGGAGCGUUCUGUAAGCGGUUGAAGGUGUGUGGUAACGCAUGCUGGACGUAUCAGAAGUGCGAAUGCUGACAUGAGUAACGAUAAAGGGGGUGAAAAACCUCCUCGCCGGAAGACCAAGGGUUCCUGUCCAACGUUAAUCGGGGCAGGGUA